rnacentral:lncRNA from 1 species
GCGAAUUUAGGUUAAUAAUGUGUAUUACAUUCAUACUAAUUAUAGUACACUGCCAUGCCUCAUAUAUCAAUGAUAUUCAUCCUAUAAUAACAUGUGUAAUUUUAUAUCAAUUUCGUAUGAUGAUCACUAACAAAUAGAGACGUAUUUCUUAUUCACUGCUAUACUAUUGAUGUAUAUACCAUGACCUUGAAUAUUCAUGAAAGUUUGUUUUUAGUGGAUGAAUAAAAAUAACACAUAAUUGAAUAAAAAGAAAAUUAUCAGUGAGCCAAAAAUAUUAAGUUGAACCACCAUCCUCAAACUACCGCCAACUCCGGUGGAGGUUCUUACGGCUGUCCAACAUGAGGGGACUGUCACCAUGAGAGUGGAAGGCUCUUCUCAAUAUCGUCCAACAACGCCUUCCAAACUGCCGAAACCGACUCUGUGUUUGACGAAGUAGUUUCCAAACCGGGAGAGGUCUCCCAUGGCUUCACUGGAAACUCGCCCAACCUGCAUAGGAGAAGGAAGAAUCUAUCAUCCCUGUCACUCGCAGAACAGAACAAAGGAACACGGAUACCCAACACGUCUUCACGGAAUGCUUCUCGGCUAUUAACACUUGGAUCUCCGACGACUACAUCACCUCCAUGGGCGUGGAGGCGACACCUAUAGAUAGUUGAACUCAUCCCAAACGCAGUCGUCCUUCCAUGGACGAUCUAUCCCGAUUCCAUGACUGCAUAGUCACCUUCCUGGAUGGCACAACUUCUUCCGUCACUUGCGUUGCUGGAGUCGCCUCAAUGUCUGACCAGAAGUAUCCUUCUCCGUCAAUAAGAGAGGGUGGCGGCUCCAUGAAGAAGAGAACCCUUUUCUUUACCAUAUUUCUCCCAAACAAUCAAUCUGAUUAUACAAAACCUAAUCCCCAGAUUUUUACCCAACCUAAGUUGCUUCCCCUUGGGCCUUUUCUAUUUUUG